GCGUAACGGAGGAGUACGAAGGUACGCUAGGUACGGUCGGAAAUCGUGCUGAUAGUGCAAUGGCAUAAGCGUGCUUAACUGCGAGACCGACAAGUCGAGCAGGUGCGAAAGCAGGUCAUAGUGAUCCGGUGGUUCUGUAUGGAAGGGCCAUCGCUCAACGGAUAAAAGGUACUCUGGGGAUAACAGGCUGAUACCGCCCAAGAGUUCAUAUCGACGGCGGUGUUUGGCACCUCGAUGUCGGCUCAUCUCAUCCUGGGGCUGUAGCCGGUCCCAAGGGUAUGGCUGUUCGCCAUUUAAAGAGGUACGUGAGCUGGGUUUAAAACGUCGUGAGACAGUUUGGUCCCUAUCUGCCGUGGGCGUUGGAUAUUUGAAGGGGGCUGCUCCUAGUACGAGAGGACCGGAGUGGACGAACCUCUGGUGUACCGGUUGUCACGCCAGUGGCAUCGCCGGGUAGCUAUGUUCGGAAGAGAUAACCGCUGAAAGCAUCUAAGCGGGAAACUCGCCUUAAGAUGAGAUAUCCCUGGGGACUAGAUCCCCUUGAAGGGUCGUUCGAGACCAGGACGUUGAUAGGUCAGGUGUGUAAGCGCAGUAAUGCGUUCAGCUAACUGAUACUAAUUGCCCGUAAGGCUUGAUCCUAUAACA
rnacentral:rRNA from 1 species